UCUCCGUAGGUGAACCUGCGGAGGGAUCAUUACUGAGUGAGGGUUUAACCGCCCGACCUCCAACCCUUUGUGAAUCGUACUCGUUGCUUCGGGGGCGACCCGGCCUUCGGGCGUCGGGGCCCCCGGCGGACCACUCAACUCUGCAUCUUUGCGUCUGAGUCUUAUAUAUGAAUUAAAUCAAAACUUUCAACAACGGAUCUCUUGGUUCUGGCAUCGAUGAAGAACGCAGC
rnacentral:misc_RNA from 1 species